rfam:Triticum aestivum genome assembly, contig: Triticum_aestivum_CS42_TGACv1_scaffold_344263_4DL
UGGCUGGUGAUGAUUCAGGUCCGAAAGGAUCUUAGCGGAUUUCGGUGAGGUGGACUUGUCUGCCGUUGAUCGAUUCAUAUUGUUACACACACUGAAGCCU